GAAGAGUAAUGAGGAUAUAAUUAUGGACUCAAGCAAGUUGGAUGAACAAGUAUUCAAUCUCUGAGGAUGCAGCCAUCUUCAAACAGGCUUGAGAUCUCUUCUGUGAGAUAUGUGCAUGGAGACAGAAAGACGCUUACGUGGCCACCGAGGACAAUGAAGUAGACGGCUUGAGAAGUAUGGCAUUUCAGGUAUUGGUUAGAAACCCAUUUAAGCAAGCAAAAUCAGUUGUUU
rnacentral:misc_RNA from 1 species